rnacentral:tRNA from 1 species
UGGAUCACCUCCUAACAGGGAGACAACAAAAUGUUUAAUAUUAUUAUUUUGUCACCUUAGGUCGAUCGGUAUCUCACAUUCUUAAUUUAUUAAGGAUUUCAUUUCCUAAGUUUUUCUAGGUCACACCCAUUAUUUUUCCUGGGCCAUUAGCUCAGGUGGUUAGAGCGCACCCCUGAUAAGGGUGAGGUCCCUGGUUCAAGUCCAGGAUGGCCCAUAUCUCUAUGUUGGGGGUAUAGCUCAGUUGGUAGAGCGCCUGCUUUGCAAGCAGGAUGUCAGCGGUUCGAGUCCGCUUACCUCCACUGAUUACCACCUCUUCCAUAAUCUGUAGAAAGGAAAUUUUUUGAGUUGUGAUCAAAUUCUGAACGAAUCUAGCUUCCUAAUGUGAUUAUUAAGAUGCUGGACUCAUUGAAUUAAUUUCAUUGUUUUCAGAGAACCUUGACAACUGCAUAGAUUAUUUUUAAAGACAAUAAGCAUCUUUGAUGAUGCAGAUUUAUUAUUUUUGCGAAUGCAUUAAUAACAAUUCUAUUAAGCUGAUGCUUCAAAUUUUUGAAGUUAUUGGUCAAGCUACAAAGGGCUCACGGAGGAUACCUAGGCACACAGAGGCGAUGAAGG